rnacentral:ncRNA from 1 species
CUACGGACUUAAUUGGAUUGAGCCUUGGUGUGGAAACCUACUAAGUGAUAACUUUCAAAUUCAGAGAAACCCUGGAAUGAAAAAUGGGCAAUCCUGAGCCAAAUGUUUUUAUUUCCCUCCCUCUUUACUGUUCAAAGAGAAAAAAAAGUCUUUUUUUUAUUUAAUUUCAUUUUAAUAAGAUCUUGCCUUAG